rnacentral:rRNA from 1 species
CUUCCUACGGGGGGCAGCAGUGAGGAAUAUUGGUCAAUGGGCUUACGCCUGAACCAGCCAAGUCGCGUGAGGGAAGACUGCCCUAUGGGUUGUAAACCUCUUUUGUCAGGGAGCAACGCCGGCUACGUGUAGCCGGACUGAGAGUACCUGAAGAAAAAGCAUCGCCUAACUCCGUGCCAGCAGCCGCGGUAAUCCGGAGGAUGCGAGCGUUAUCCGGUUUUAUUGGGUUUAAAGUGUGCGUAGGCGGAAUGCCACGUCA